rnacentral:tRNA from 12 species
GCACCCGUAGCUCAGCUGGAUAGAGCGCUGCCCUCCGAAGGCAGAGGUCACACGUUCGAAUCGUGUCGGGUGCACCA